UACGGAGGGUGCGAGCGUUGUCCGGAAUCACUGGGCGUAAAGGGCGCGUAGGCGGCUCAUGAAGGCUGUGGUGAAAGUCCGGGGCUCAACCUCGGAUCGGCCGUGGCGACUCGUGGGCUGGAGCACUGUAGAGGCGGGUGGAAUUCCGGGUGUAGCGGUGGAAUGCGUAGAGAUCCGGAAGAACACCAGUGGCGAAGGCGGCCCGCUGGGCAUGGCUGACGCUGAGGCGCGACAGCGUGGGGAG
rnacentral:rRNA from 1 species